rnacentral:rRNA from 1 species
UACGUAGGGGGCGAGCGUUGUCCGGAUUUAUUGGGCGUAAAGAGCGUGUAGGCGGCCAGGUAGGUCUGCUGUGAAAACUCGAGGCUCAACCUUCAGACGUCGGCCGAAACCAUCUGGCUAGAGUCCGGAAGAGGAGAGUGGAAUUCCUGGUGUAGCGGUGAAAUGCGCAGAUAUCAGGAAGAACACCCGUGGCUAAGGCGGCUCUCUAGUACGGUACUGACGCUGAGACGCGAAAAGCGUGGGGGAGCGAACAGG